AUGAGUUCUAGUUCUAUUGUUUAAUCCUGACAAGUAUGUACACAUCGUUAUGAUUGGUUGAAAACCUCGUUCGGUAGUAUCCAAUUGGCCGAUAAGUUAAAAUAUUUCGCGAAUUACGUCAAACCUGUUUGUAAUAAAUAAGGGAGCUCCUCCCUGGAAGUCGGACUCCAGUUACGCAAUGCGAUGUACAAGAGGACACGUGAAAAUACAGACUGUGCUGUCAAGUCGAUUCGAGCGUCGUCUGCUACGAUAUCUCGACCGAGGAUUAUACAUGAUGCAGGUUGUAUGGUUGAUUCAAGUGAACCACGUGUGUUUCGUUAUGUAGCCAUAGUAUAACCACAGAUGAUAUCUCGCUCUGAUAUAAUGUCUUUUAAAUAGUGAUUGGUUAAUUUAUAUUAUUUGUUUUUCUUAACCAAUCAGCGAUAAAAAUAAUAUUAUAGUUUUUUAUUUCAUGAAAAAAAAGAUAAGUUAAAAUAUAUACUAAUAUUUUAUAGAUAUUAAUGAAAACUAAACAUAUGUAUUAUUUAAAUAUUAUUAAUAUGAUUAAUUUAAA